rnacentral:lncRNA from 10 species
GCGGCCAUCUGAGGCAGGACUCUAGGAGCCUCUGUCACACCCGGCAGUGCACAGGAUGAUUCAGAGAGAGGCUGUCCCAAGGCCUCCCGGCUCACUGGUCGCAGUCUUCCCGGUCCUCCCGCCACCCUCCACACAGCACCACUGCCACCCACAUCCCUGCUGGGCAGGAGAGGGGGUCGGGAGGGCAGACACAGGGCAGUGGGCGAGUCUGAUCCAGGUUUUGUGAGGCCUCCCUAUAAAGAAAAGAAUACAAACUUACAAAAACAAAAUUAGGUAUGACAGUGAAUAUUUCUUUAGGAUGAGGAAAAAAAAAAAGCAAACAUACAAAAUCCAGAAAACCAACAUCGUGUUUUUACGAAGGGCCUGCUCCAUCUCCAUAACACUUCUUCCUGCACUUUUUGGCUGCGUACUUUUUAUCUAUCUCAUUGUUUGAGAAUUUUACAUCACCUACGAUAGAAGGAAUAGAAACAUAAUUGCUCUUCCUCCAGCAUGGCUGAUUGAAAUUUGUUUUUUCUUAUUUAUAAUUAGAACACAUAGAACAGAUGACUUAACACAUGUGCACACAGCUUUGCAGUACAGCUAGAGGUCUGUGUACAUUAAACAACAAGUUCUGAUCAAUUCUAUUUACAAGAUUCCUGUUUGCGAAAGGAAGCAGGCCAGGCAUAGUGGCUCCCACCUGUAAUGCCAGUACUUUGGGAGCCCAAGGUGGGCGGAUCACUUGAGCGCAGGAGUUUAAGACCAGCCUGGCCAACAUGGUGAGAUCCUGUGUCUACCAAAAAAAAAAAAAAAAUAGCUGGAUGUGUAGUUCCAGCUACUCAGGAGGCUGAGGUGGAAGGAUUGCUUGAGCCUGGGAGGUUGAGGCUGCAGUGAGCUGUGACUGCCCUACUGCGCUGCAGCCUGGGCGACAGAGCAAGUCCCUAUAUCAAAAAAAAAGAGGAAGCAGCAAUGCUGGGUGCACAUUUAUAAUUGUAUACGAUGCAUUUAUCAACAGACCAUUUCUGCUCUGGCGAGGCCCUGAUGAGAGCUGAAUACUCUGCUUACAAUGGCACACGCCCGAGGACCGUCAGAGAGUCCACCGGGCGCUUGGGCUCCGUGUGUUUCAGACCAGCCUGGCCAACAUGGUAAAAUCUGCAUCCAUGUGCAGUGCAGAGCAUGGCAGGGUGCAUUCUCCUCCUCACCGUCUCUCCCAAGCACCUUCAGGUCGUGAUGCCGAAGAAACCAUCUAUGCCCAGGUCUUAAUCCAUAAAGGUGCCUAACAGAGGUCAGCGCUAUUGAAAGGAAAGUCUAACAUCGCUCUGGAAACAUUCGCUAGAAAUGAGAGACAUGGCAGGCCCCGCAGGGCGGCAGGGGGAAGCCGCAGGCAGACCAGGAGGCAGAAAGGAGCGAGGGAAAGGCCAAGCCACAGCCUCUGUUGGCUUCCUGGGAAAGCCGGGCAGAGCAGGGGAGACAGCUUGGGACGGGCUGAUUUGUCUGAUUCUGGGUUCCGGGGCUGUCCCUUGUGGUCUGGUUCUGGGCCUGGGUUGACACUGGGCAGGGAAAUAUUGGCUGGGGGUACAGAAGAUGAAUGAAGUGGUUUGGAGCAGGGGCUCUGGGCAGGAGGGGAGGUGCCAACAGCCCUGGUCAGGAGGUUGGCCCUGUCAUCAUGACCGCAAGUAGUCAAACGCAGGAUCUAAGGAGGCACAAAUCAAGGACGAAGCCAGCAGGAAGGCCAUCUCUGCGACCCAUCUCUGUGACCCCAACAAGAGGCCCCUCGCCGGCCAUCCCCGUUCCAGCUUCUGAUGUCCUGAUGUAGAAGCGUCUCCUCUGCAGCUCUGAGGUGAGAGGCCAAGCCCUCCGUGACCCCAAAAGGCCAGGGCUCCCCAAGUGUUAUCCACAAACACCCCUGUGGGGACGGCAGGCUCCUACAAGGCGCCCUUGCACAGGUCUCUUGCAGAGCUUCUCCACCCACUCUCUGGGCCCUGACACAGUGGGAGGGUGCCUGUCCUUACCCCAGCCGGAUGUCCCACCACACUCCUGCCUGGGGACUUCUGGCACGCAGGAGAGGCUGGACACACAGAUGCAGAGAGGCUUGCCCCAACGCCAUUGCCCGUUUUACCUUGAAGUUCGUGGUUCUUUAAUUCUUGUUCCAAACUGUGAGUCAACCUUUAAAAUAUAUGAUAUUGAAGUUCUCCUUCAGCCUCCGGUCUUUCAUCACAGUUAAAUCCAGAGAUUUCACGAGCAGUAGAUAAAUCUGCAGUAGAGAAAAGUGCUCCAAAGGUGGGCGCGCCAGGCUCCCAUUUGGAGCUGUUUAUAAAUGCUUUUAUGUAGACCCCUCCUAGAUGACGAGGAAUGGCCUCAGAGCAACCCUGGGAAGGAUGAGGAGGGGUCCGGGGACUCCAGACGAAAUCGCACAGCCACCUACCGUGUGAGUGGAAACCCAUGCUGCUUCUGCCUGGCCUCUAGGAUCCGCGUUCAGGGGAAGCCGUGUCCCUGGGGUCAUGAGACGUGAUUGUUCAGACCAAUGGAUGAGGCUGAGCAGAAUCAUUUCAUUUCCCCCGCACUUGCCAAGGGCAGGGACUUUCCCGUUUGUCCCUGCCUGAUAUGCAGGAAGGACUCAGAACUACUUAAGAACAAAUCAAUGAACCUAUGGCUUUAUGGCAAAUACCACAGAAACAACCUUAGAAAUGGGCUGAGGAGGCUGUCUGGCCUCUAACAAAUGACCUCAUCUCUCUGAACCUUAAUUUCCUCAUCAGUAAAGUGGCAGUGCAGCCCCUCCCUCACAGGACGCUCCAUGGCAGAGUGCAG